CACGUUGGCCAUAUCACCCUGAUCGUGCCCGAUCUCAUCUAAUCUCGGAAGCUAAGCAGGGUCGGGCCUGGUUAGUACUUGGAUGGUGGUGGUCCUCCUGCCUCUGCUUCCUGAGUGUGACAUUACAGGUGCAUGC
rfam:Cavia porcellus supercont2_115 genomic scaffold, whole genome shotgun sequence.